GGCCAGACUCCUACGGGAGGCAGCAGUGGGGAAUAUUGCACAAUGGGGGGAACCCUGAUGCAGCGACGCCGCGUGAGUGAAGAAGUAUUUCGGUAUGUAAAGCUCUAUCAGCAGGGACGAAGAUGACGGUACCUGCAGAAGAAGCCCCGGCUAACUACGUGCCAGCAGCCGCGGUAAUACGUAGGAGGCAAGCGUUAUCCGGAAUGACUGGGCGUAAAGGGUGCGUAGGUGGUUUGACAAGUUGGUAGCGUAACUCCGGGGCUCAACCUCGGCACUACUACCAAAACUGCCAAACUUGAGUGCAGGAGGGGCAAAUGGAAUUCCUAGUGUAGCGGUGAAAUGCGUAGAUAUUAGGAGGAACACCAGUGGCGAAGGCGGCUUACUGGACUGUAACUGACGUUGAGGCUCGAAAGCGUGGGGAGCAAACAGGAUUAGAUACCCGUGUA
rnacentral:rRNA from 1 species